rnacentral:rRNA from 1 species
UAGGGAAUCUUCGGCAAUGGGGGCAACCCUGACCGAGCAACGCCGCGUGAGUGAAGAAGGUUUUCGGAUCGUAAAGCUCUGUUGUAAGAGAAGAACGUGUGUGAGAGUGGAAAGUUCACACAGUGACGGUAACUUACCAGAAAGGGACGGCUAACUACGUGCCAGCAGCCGCGGUAAUACGUAGGUCCCGAGCGUUGUCCGGAUUUAUUGGGCGUAAAGCGAGCGCCGGCGGUUUAAUAAGUCUGAAGUUAAAGGCAGUGGCUUAACCAUUGUUCACUUUGGAAACUGUUACACUUGAGUGCAGAAGGAGAGAGUGGAAUUCCAUGUGUAGCGGUGAAAUGCUUAGAUAUAUGGAGGAGCACCGGUGGCGAAAGCGGCUCUCUGGUCUGUAACUGACGCUGAGGCUCGAAAGCGUGGGGAGCAAACAGG